CAGCAGCCGCGGGAAUACAGAGGGUGCGAGCGUUAAUCGGAUUUACUGGGCGUAAAGCGUGCGUAGGCGGCUUUUUAAGUCGGAUGUGAAAUCCCUGAGCUUAACUUAGGAAUUGCAUUCGAUACUGGGAAGCUAGAGUAUGGGAGAGGAUGGUAGAAUUACAGGUGUAGCGGUGAAAUGCGUAGAGAUCUGGAGGAAUACCGAUGGCGAAGGCAGCCAUCUGGCCUAAUACUGACGCUGAGGUACGAAAGCAUGGGGAGCAAACAGGAUUAGAUACCCCUGUAGUCCCUGUCUCUUAUAC
rnacentral:rRNA from 1 species